rnacentral:rRNA from 1 species
GAUGAACGCUGGCGGCGUGCCUAAUACAUGCAAGUCGAACGAGGUGCUUUUGUAGCAAUACGAGAGUAUCCUAGUGGCGAACGGGUGAGUAACGCGUUGGUGACCUGCCCCAAAGUGUGGGAUAACAGUCCGAAAGGAUUGCUAAUACCGCAUGUGGUCCUCGGAUUUAGAAACUGAUGACUAAAGCCGCAAGGCGCUUUGGGAGGGACCUGCGUCCCAUCAGCUAGUUGGUGAGGUAACGGCCCACCAAGGCUACGACGGGUAGGGGGCCUGAGAGGGUGGCCCCCCACAAUGGAACUGAAACACGGUCCAUACACCUACGGGUGGCAGCAGUAGGGAAUAUUGCACAAUGGGCGAAAGCCUGAUGCAGCAACGCCGCGUGAGCGAAGAAGGCCUUCGGGUCGUAAAGCUCUUCUCUGGGAGAUGAGAAAGGACAGUAUCUCAGGAAUAAGUCUCGGCUAACUACGUGCCAGCCGCCGCCGUAAAAC